CAGCCGACAAAUUUGGACUUCCUGGCAGGCCGUAGUAACGGCCACAAUUCUGCUCCACUCCCUUCGGCAAAUCCUACGCGGUUCCAUUACUCCCUGCGGCGGAUCCUACGCGGCUCCAUUACUCCCUGGCAUGCCGCAUUAACGACCACAGCACUGCUCCACUUCCUGCGACGGAUACCGCACGAUUUUUUCAUCCCCUGGCAAGUCACGACAACGGACGCCACUCCACUCCCU
rnacentral:lncRNA from 1 species